rnacentral:rRNA from 1 species
GUGUCAGCAGCCGCGGUAAUACAGAGAGUGCAAACGUUGUUCGGAAUUACUGGGCUUAAAGCGCACGUAGGCGGUGUCGUAAGUGUCUGGUGAAAUCCCACGGCUCACCCGUGGAACUGCCAGGCAUACUGCGAUUCUCGAGUGUGGUAGGGGAUAGCGGAACUCCUGGUGGAGCGGUGAAAUGCGUAGAUAUCAGGAGGAACACCGGUGGCGAAGGCGGCUCUCUGGUCCACAACUGACGCUGAGGUGCGAAAGCUAGGGGAGCAAACGGGAUUAGAUACCCUGGUAGUCC